AAUCUGGUUGAUCCUGCCAGAGGCGACCGCUUUUGGAGUUCGAUUAAGCCAUGCGAGUAGAAUGAAUUAGAUCAUUGCGAACUGCUCAGUAACACGUGGAUAACCUGCCCUAUGCUCUGGGAUAACCUUGGGAAACUGAGAAUAAUACCGGAUAGAUCACAACGCCUGGAACGGUGUGUGGUUGAAAGAUUACGGCAUAGGAUGGGUCUGCGGCGUAUCAGGUCGUAGGGGGUGUAACGGACCUCCUAGCCAUCGACGCGUACGGGUUGUGGGAGCAAUAGCCCGGAGAUGGAUUCUGAGACACGAAUCCAGACCCUACGGGGUGCAGCAGGCGCGAAAACUUCACACUGCAGGAAACUGUGAUGAGGGAACUCCAAGUGACUGCACAUUGUGUAGCCUUUUCUUUACUAUUAAUCGGUAUUGGAAUAAGGGCUGGGAAAGACCGGUGCCAGCCGCCGCGGUAAUACCGGCGCCUCAAGUGGUAGUCGCUUUUAUUGGGCCUAAAACGUCCGUAGCCGGUCUGGUACAUUCGUGGGUAAAUCAACCCGCUCAACGGGUUGAAUUCUGCGAGCACGGCCAGACUUGGGACC
rnacentral:rRNA from 1 species